AACGAACGCUGGCGGCGUGGAUAAGACAUGCAAGUCGGACGAGAUUUUUCGUUGUAGCAAUACGAUGGAAAGUUUAGUGGCGAACAGGUGCUUAACACGUGGGCAACCUGCCGAGAAGUGGGGGAUAGCUCGCCGAAAGGCGAAUUAAUACCGCAUGUGAUUAGAGAGGACAUCCUUUCGAAAUUAAAGUCGGGGCAACCUGACGCUUUUUGUGGGGCCCGCGGCCUAUCAGCUAGUUGGUGAGGUAACGGCCCACCAAGGCUUUGGCGGGUAGCUGGUCUGAGAGGACGACCAGCCACACUGGGACUGAGACACGGCCCAGACACCUACGGGUGGCAGCAGUCGAGAAUUUUUGACAAUGGGGGAAACCCUGAUCGAGCGACGCCGCGUGGAGGAUGAAGGUCUUCGGAUUGUAAACUCCUGUCAUUGGGGAACAAUGCGUGACGGUUAACUGCCGUUGCGUUGAUAGUACCCGAAGAGGAAGAGACGGCUAACUCUGUGCCAGCCGCCGCAGUAAAAC
rnacentral:rRNA from 1 species